rnacentral:piRNA from 2 species
UUCAUUACAGAUUUGUAAUCAAGCUCUCAGA